GCGCUGUGAACACGGGCUGUGAGUUGGAUGGUGGCCUUCCCGCAGGGCCUAGUCGACAUGGCGGCCGGUGAGCAACAGAUAGGAGUGAGGGAGCUCUGUAACAUCUCUCACAAAUACCCCUCUGCCGUUCCCAGCGGAGUGUGACCACAUGACCGUUGCAAAUUGCAGGAGUCCCGCCCCGCCCAGCCUCAACCAGCUGACAUUGACUGGAAGAGGCCCGGAAAUGGCAACCUCAUAUCAGAGCUACCUCACACCCUGUCACAGUCCUUCGUAUCAGAACUACCUCACACCCUGUCAUAGUCCUCCAUAUCAGAGCUACCUCACACCCUGUCACAGUCCUCCAUAUCAGAGCUACCUCACACCCUGUCAUAGUCCUCCAUAUCAGAGCUACCUCACACCCUGUCACAGUCCUCCAUAUCAGAACUACCUCACACCCUGUCACAGUCCUCCAUAUCAGAACUACCUCACACCGCUGUCAUAGACCUCCAUAUCAGAGCUACCUCACACCCUGUCACAGUCCUUCGUAUCAGAGCUACCUCACACCCUGUCACAGUCCUCAAUAUCAGAGCUACCUCACACCCUGUCACAGUCCUUAGUAUCAGAACUACCUCACACCCUGUCAUAGUCCUCCAUAUCAGAACUACCUCACACCGCUGUCAUAGUCCUCCAUAUCAGAGCUACCUCACACCGCUGUCAUAGACCUCCAUAUCAGAGCUACCUCACACCGCUGUCAUAGACCUCCAUAUCAGAACUACCUCACACCGCUGUCAUAGACCUCCAUAUCAGAACUACCUCACACCGCUUUCAAUCUAAGGAUAAAAAGGAUAUGCAAACAAAAAGUAUAUCUUGAAAGAAGGGAGAUCUACUAAACAGUGCCCAGGGGAUCCAUUAUUUGGUGUACUAAAUUGCAUCUAGGUUCCAAUUCCCCUAGUGUCCGACUGACGGGAAGGUAGUGUAAACGAGGUUAGGGAGAGAGAAAAGGCACAGGGUCCACAGAGAACAAGGGACCAGAUACUCUAGUCUAAAUGCAGAUAAAAAGCCUCAAAGAGAAAAAAAAAUCUCUCAAUUCAUUUCAAGAGUUACCUUAACACUGUGGUCUGACUACUAGUGUCUACCUGAACCGACUCUCCCUACUAAAGUUAUAAAUAAAGAAACGCAUAAAAAUCAAUAACCAUAGUGGUAAUAAAAAUAAAAAAGUGCUACCAAGUGCAGUGAUAAUAGAAACCGCUCAACAUGCGUUUUUGCAUGUUCAAAACGCCAUCAUCAAGAGCUUGUAGCAUUUAAAUACCUAUUGCUGAUGAAACAUGGUCAUCAGCUGUUCAAUGUGGGAGGUCUCGAGAGGCGGAGUGUCUAGACUCUAUCCCACAGCCUACGGGGGCGUGGCAUGUCACAUAUUCUAGAUCUCAAAACCAUAGUGACGACACAACCAGCCGGUGAGGUAGUUUAGCUGGCAAAAUCCCCAACCACAAAGCCUGCUCAAAAAUGCAAGCCCACAGUUUCAAAUACCAACCACAAAACCUGCUCAAAAAUGCAAGGCCACAGGUUUAAAUCCCAGCAGGGUCGGCAAAACGAGUACCAUCAAUGGGGCAACAAUAACAUACACUACUAUUCAGCUGCCGACCUGGUCAGCUUCGAGAGCGUGCGCUGAAGAGCACCCCGAGUCCCACUGGGAAAAAAGGCACCACACAAAUACCUGUUAUUAUUAUUCUUUUAACCGGGACCGCCGCCGUCCUGUGCUAUAGAGUGGAGCCAGGCGGGGCGGAACACAUCAUCCAGUAUGGGCGUUUGUUGCAAAACAGGCUGUUAUGUGAGCUGUACAGCCAAGAGGGAGAGCAUCGGGGCACAACCCCGCCUCCCUAUAUUGCUGAUUUUUCCCUCUCAUAGGUGGGACGGGAUGGCUGAAUAUGUGAGGUGGGCUUAAAGUAUUCCCAAAGUGCACCUCAUAGUGUGACUGGAACGCCUACUGUAUUAUGGAGUGGAACUGACUGGAAGUGGGCGGGAAAUAGCAUCUCAGUCCCAUCCGGUGUGGGCAUCUAUUGCAUAGGCUGUCCCAUCAAUUGUAUGGUCAAAAAAUUACCACACAAGGUCUCACAUAUGCCAAUCAGGUCAGGGUACAUUAAAUGUACAGUAAAUGGACCCGUCUUUAUAGAUUGAAUAAUGCCUAUAAACAUAAGGAAAUAAACAUCCACUCAGGGGAAGUGUACCCCAAUCAGGAUGUAUAAAAUAAGGCAGACAAUAUCUUGGUUCGAAUGGCAAAAUGAGCAUAGUGAAAAUAAAGUGGCCUUUCAUGUUCAUAUAUAAAGUGUCAUAUUUACAUAUCUACAAAUUUACAAAUAGUACGGUAGGGAGCUUAAAAAGGAAGAAUUCCUCAGGGUUGUUUAAGCCCCUUUAAUGAAGAGAGUAUUACAAAAAGGCUGAAAAAGAGAAUCCCUUAUUUAACCCUGCUGUGGAUAACGUAUUGAGUUUGUAAAUCCAAUACGAUUCUCUCUGCUGUAGUUUUCGGUCCCAAUUUCCUUUAUGUGGAGGUUGGGGGACUGAUUCAAUACCCAUGAAUCUAAUUUUAGUAGCAGAAUUAGAAUGAACAUAACAGGAGGUACACUAGUCCUUCGGUACGGCAGUUAAAGAAAGAUUUUGUUAAGAAUUCCUCAGAAUCACCGCUGUCUGUAAAAGGCUUGGUCUGUUUAGCAAUAUGUGGACAUUCACUACAGUGGCCACACUUGUAUGUGCCCGUGGGUAGAUAUUGUUUGAGGAGUUUUAUUAAGGGGGCCUUGUGAAGAAAUCCCUCUUUAUGUUCAGUAUUUCUCCCCUGUUCAUUCGGUAGAUGUAACUACCGAACAGAGACCACCCCCCAGGCUCGUUAAACUUCAAAGCAUGCCUCAAUUGAAUCUUCUACCAGUCGUUUGUCCUACUGAACGCCACGUGGCUGAGAAAACGGCGGCCAUCUUUUUUUAUGCGAACAAAGGCAGCGGGACUUGUUUGUCGAGUGUAUGUUUGUGCUGGGAGUGUUUUACGUUUUUCUUGCAAAUGAUUGGAUGUACUUUGUCCCUCCCUGUUGGAUGUCCCCUUGCAUGGGGACUUGCAUAAAAGCCAGUGUGUGAUAAUUAAAAGCCAGUUCUGUUGCACCCUUCUUCUAGACUUUGGCUGAUGUUUGGGGAUUCGUAUGCUUUAUUAAGGGAAUCAUCUUGUAAAGCUAUUGUAUUCGUAUGGAUUUCAUCUACCGAACGGAGAGCUAUAAUCACUGAUGCUCUGACUGUUCGGGAGGAAACUACCAAAUGAGGAUUGGAUAUCCUAGGUUUCCUUACAACUGGUGGCAAGCAGAGGGAUUCGAAUCCCGAAUAGACGUUCUGAACCAAGCAAGGGAAUGAAUGGCUCAGCAAUACCAGCUACUUAAAAGAUCCACGCUAAAAGAUUUACUGGAAGCUCGAGGCGUAGUGGCAAGUAACAAGACAAAAGCCACGUUAAUUGUGGAUUUAAUACAGAGCGACGGAACCAGUAAUACAGAGUUGGAGCACGAGGAAGAAACCGAGAUGCAGAAGGAUAUCAGAUGGAUGCUCAGUGUAUGGGACCCAAUCCAUCAACAGAGGCAGUUCUGCAGGUCAUGGCACAAGCCAGGCAAUAGCAAAAAGAGCGAGGUGAUCGAGACAGACCGUUACAGGGGGAUUUGCUACACUCCCCGGGAAGUACAAACGACCUACCAAAGAAGGUAAACUAUGCAGCGUUUAUAACUUUUAAUGAUAAUGACAUGGAAAUUGACAGUUAUCUACAAGACUUUGAACGUCAGUGUGCGCUGGAGGGAUUAGACUCCUCAAAAUGGUCUGCAGUACUUAGCAGCAAGCUAUCAGGAAGAGCAGCAGAGGCGUUGUGAGCAGUACCUGAUGGGGACAUACACAAUUAUGGCAAGGUGAAAGAUAUUUUGUUGGCCAGAUACGCUGUAACCCCAGAGGCGUACAGGAAAAAAGUUUAGGGAACUUCAGAAAGAUUCUCACACUGAAUGGGCUUUCCAGCUACACAGGGCAGCCUGGAAUUGGAUGCAGGGCUGCCAAGGAACUACCCUGGAGGAUGCCUUACAGCUCAUACUAUUGGAGCAGUUUUUUAAUCACACAGCAGACGAUAUAAAAGACUGGGUAAAGGACAGAAAACCCAAAACUGUGAAGGAAGCCGCCAGACUAGCGGAUGUUCACCAGGACAACCGGAGGUGAGAACAGGGGGUGAGCAGACCAACCUUUAAACACACCUACCCAGUACUAGCAACUCCUGCACCACCUAGAGCCUCCGUAAGUAAUCCCAGCAGCAACACCCCGACCCCUUGCAGGUUGUCAUUACUGCAAGCAACCAGGACAGAACCAGUGCCCUCAUUUGAACCGAGGAAGCUGGAAAAGGCAACCACCGCAACAACCCAUCGUACCCGCCCAUUGUGUCCAACAAGAAAAUCCUACCAGCUCCCCUAACCAAGAGGAGCAGUGGAGUGUUUUGCAUGAGGUCAGUCCAGUUGUGAGCGAAUGGGGGCGAGAACCGGGACCACCACCGUCAAUGGAUUACAGUAGAUGGCAUGGGGGCCUGAGCUUUGAGAGGCUCUGGGGCCAAACUAACCGUAGUACAACCACACACGGUCAAGGCCCAAGCUCGCAUCGGCCGCACAGUAGCCGUAAGGGUGGCUGGUGGUGCCAUACACAAGCUACCCACAGCCAGUGUCCUUGUCAACUCUGGAUCUAAACAAUUGGAGGUUCCUCAACCCUUCGCAAGGCCGAGAGAGAAACGGAGCUCAGACUCUCCUGUAUUUUUGACGCCUUCUGGGAGAGGCUGGAACAGCUUGCGUGGCCCCCGGAACCAGGGACCUACGCCACACUGCCCGUUACGAGAGGCUCAAGAAAAUGUCUCGGCACAUGCCGUAGGUUCCCUUGCUGGACUCCACAGGCGCCUGAAAAAGACCAACCCGAUGUCGGGUGAACAGAGCCACUCCAAGGGUGAACGUGACCAGGCACAGGCAAGGUAUCUUAAGGGGACCCCCACAGCACAGCGCAGAUCACUGCCUCGCUCCCCGACAAUGACCCAGCCUAAGAGAGGCAAUGGCCAACUCAUCCACACAUGCAAGUGGCAGACCAAGAGGCCUAAAAUGGCGGCAGCAGCAGCACACAGCCACAGCCAACGAAUACACCGGCAGGUGGGAACCACAACUGGAGCCACAUUAUACAUACCGACUAGGUCCUCUGCCCACACUGAGACACUCUUCUCCUACACUGCUGGACCAAGGGGAAUGCGGCACGCACCAUCGCUGCAACUAACGGCGCAGGGGGAGCACACCCAGCCCCAACAAGGCAUCGGCUGACCCAUACAAGACUGGGACUCAAUGUCAGGCACAGUGCCCAAUAUUCAUCACCUCUUAAUACCCGAGAUGAACUCUCACACCUGUAUGCAUGCAAUUCAAUAGCCCUUUUGUUUAUGCCGGGGACCGCAGGGGGGGAUAUCGCUAGGGACCAAGCGAUUAUAAGCUAAGCCUUUCUAUGUACAGGGAGUGCAGAAUUAUUAGGCAAAUUAGUAUUUUGACCACAUCAUCCUCUUUAUGCAUGUUGUCUUACUCCAAGCUGUAUAGGCUCGAAAGCCUACUACCAAUUAAGCAUAUUAGGUGAUGUGCAUCUCUGUAAUGAGAAGGGGUGUGGUCUAAUGACAUCAACACCCUAUAUCAGGUGUGUAUAAUUAUUAGGCAACUUCCUUUCCUUUGGCAAAAUGGGUCAAAAGAAGGACUUGACAGGCACAGAAAAGUCAAAAAUAGUGAGAUAUCUUGCAGAGGGAUGCAGCACUCUUAAAAUUGCAAAGCUUCUGAAGCGUGAUCAUCGAACAAUCAAGCGUUUCAUUCAAAAUAGUCAACAGGGUCGCAAGAAGCGUGUGGAAAAACCAAGGCGCAAAAUAACUGCCCAUGAACUGAGAAAAGUCAAGCGUGCAGCUGCCACGAUGCCACUUGCCACCAGUUUGGCCAUAUUUCAGAGCUGCAACAUCACUGGAGUGCCCAAAAGCACAAGGUGUGCAAUACUCAGAGACAUGGCCAAGGUAAGAAAGGCUGAAAGACGACCACCACUGAACAAGACACACAAGCUGAAACGCCAAGACUGGGCCAAGAAAUAUCUCAAGACUGAUUUUUCUAAGGUUUUAUGGACUGAUGAAAUGAGAGUGAGUCUUGAUGGGCCAGAUGGAUGGGCCCGUGGCUGGAUUGGUAAAGGGCAGAGAGCUCCAGUCCGACUCAGACGCCAGCAAGGUGGAGGUGGAGUACUGGUUUGGGCUGGUAUCAUCAAAGAUGAGCUUGUGGGGCCUUUUCGGGUUGAGGAUGGAGUCAAGCUCAACUCCCAGUCCUACUGCCAGUUCCUGGAAGACACCUUCAAGCAGUGGUACAGGAAGAAGUCUGCAUCCUUCAAGAAAAACAUGAUUUUCAUGCAGGACAAUGCUCCAUCACACGCGUCCAAGUACUCCACAGCGUGGCUGGCAAGAAAGGGUAUAAAAGAAGAAAAUCUAAUGACAUGGCCUCCUUGUUCACCUGAUCUGAACCCCAUUGAGAACCUGUGGUCCAUCAUCAAAUGUGAGAUUUACAAGGAGGGAAAAACAGUACACCUCUCUGAACAGUGUCUGGGAGGCUGUGGUUGCUGCUGCACGCAAUGUUGAUGGUGAACAGAUCAAAACACUGACAGAAUCCAUGGAUGGCAGGCUUUUGAGUGUCCUUGCAAAGAAAGGUGGCUAUAUUGGUCACUGAUUUGUUUUUGUUUUGUUUUUGAAUGUCAGAAAUGUAUAUUUGUGAAUGUUGAGAUGUUAUAUUGGUUUCACUGGUAAUAAUAAAUAAUUGAAAUGGGUAUAUAUUUGUUUUUUGUUAAGUUGCCUAAUAAUUAUGCACAGUAAUAGUCACCUGCACACACAGAUAUCCCCCUAACAUAGUUAAAACUAAAAACAAACUAAAAACUACUUCCAAAAAUAUUCAGCUUUGAUAUUAAUGAGUUUUUUGGGUUCAUUGAGAACAUGGUUGUUGUUCAAUAAUAAAAUUAAUCCUCAAAAAUACAACUUGCCUAAUAAUUCUGCACUCCCUGUAUAGCCUCGCUAUUCUGAUACAUAAGUUAGUUUAGCAUACGUACCUUUCUAAUCUACAACUGUUUAUUAAGCAUGACCACGAUAUCUAUGUUCCUAGCUAGGCAUACAGCUGCCAUAACGUUUCAUUGCUCCUCUUCUACUCAUGUCUUUUGACAGAUUGUCCAUUUUGCUUAUUAUAAUGUUUAGCAAUUCAGCAGGCUACUAAUCUACGUCAGUCAUGUCAAUUUAUUUCUUGUAAACACACCUCUUGCUAUUGUUACUCGCAUUUACUAACCAGAUACUCAGCAUUACUCUAACAAUUUUAAAAAAAUGUGUGCAGUUUAAUCCCAAGUCACAGUAUUGUCAGCUUUGCGAAGGCAUGUAAUCGCUAUUGUGGCAUUGAAGCCAAAUUUGUACCUCCCUUUGCACAACAAAAAUAAAGAAUAAAAAAAAAAAAACAAUUGGAGGUUGGCAUUAUGCAGGAACUGCCGGCCGAGGUCUUAUUGGGGAACGACGUAGGCUGUUUAACCUCCCAACUCUCACGGGACACCACUUCAGAAGCCUACCCAGUUACUGUGGAGGAACCAGCCUCGCCACUGGGCAUUGGAGACUGAUUGCCAGCCUCCUGCCAUGUGACAAUGGCCCCUAGGAUGUAUUGCCUGCUCUCCUGUACUGCUGAGGUUUGCUACCAACUAGGUGGAUUUGGCUAUGGAGCUUGUCUAGUGCCCUCUGUUGGUAGCAACAGCAAUAUGCACUACCUGAAUAGCAAGACUGGUUCAUUUGCAUAUUCGGGUAGAUUUGCAUAUUGCUAAUUCUGCAGGCACGUGAGAUAUUUUCUGUUAAUUAUUGUCUCCCCCACCUCUUUAAAAAUAUGCCAUUGUGUUAUAAUAAGUCACUGUAUGUUGCCUGCUAUGAUUUGAUUGUUUGUAAUUUUAUUGAGUUUUCACAGCAAUGGGACACGGGGCCACCCAAGUCACUAAAAGACAGCUUGUAGUACCCCGUAAGUUUCAUGCUGAGUUAUUAAAACUCAGUCACGACAUUCCCCUAGCAGGACAUCUAGGGGUUAAGAAGACGAGGGACCGGUUGACCCAAACGUUCUUCUGGCCUAGGAUCACGCAAGAUCUUAAAUAUUAUUGUAGAACGUGUGACAUAUGUCAAAAGAUAGGGAAAAGGGGUGACCACCAAAAAGCCAAACUCCACCCUUUACCCAUUAUAGAAGAGCCGUUUCACUGAGUAGUGAUAGACUUAAUAGGACCCCUCAGUAUGUGCCCCCUCUUCCGGGGAUAGUGAGGAACUUCCCCUGCCCGAUAAAUUAGACACCUCCUUAGAGAAGAGUGAGGCCUCUCAGCUGCCUCAGGGAUACCAAGGAAUGUUUUCUGCCAUACCAGGAUAUACCUCCGCUGCGGUACACCGUGUAGAAACCCAGGGAGAAACGCCUUUACGGCAGCAACCAUAUUGUAUCCCUGAGGCAGUACAGGAAAAUAUGCUCGCUGAAAUAAGGGAUAUGCUCAAAUUAGGGGUUAUAGAACACUCUCAAAAUCCUUGGGCUUCGCCGGUAGUACUAGUACCGAAGCGCGACGGUACUACGCGCUUCUGUGUAGACUAUCGGAAGCUCAACGAUCACACCAUAACUGAAGCCUACCCCAUGCCCAGAAUAGAUGAGCUUUUAGACCGUAUGGCUGGGGGGAAUUACCUGACUAUCUUGGACUUGUGCAAGGGGUAUUGGCAGAUCCCCUUGGAGCCUGAGGCCAUCCCCAAGUCAGCGUUCGUCACUCCAUUUGGGCUAUACCAGUUCAAGGUUAUGCCCUUUGGGAUGAAGAAUGCCCCGGCUACUUUUCAGAGGAUGGCCCAUAGGCUCCUAGAGGAGUUCCAGGACUUCGCAUGUGCGUAUCUAGACAAUAUUGCCGUCUACAGCCGCACUUGGGAAGACCACCUGGGGCACUUGUCCAGGGUACUCAAGCGGGUCUCACAUUGAAACCUGACAAAUGCCACGUAGGCAUGGCCGAGGUACAGUAUCUCGGCCACAGGGUAGGUUCCAGGAGGCAGCGUCCAGAGCCUGCUAAACUAGAGGCCAUAGCUAAUGGGCCUCAACCCCGUACUAAAACCCAGGUAUUAGCCUUUUUAGGGACGACCGGCUACUACCGAAAAUUUGUUCCAGAGUAUAGCGCCCUGGCCAAGCCUCUCACCGACCUUACCAAAAAGGCCCUACCUAAACAAGUGCCCUGGACCCCAGAGUGCGCGGACACUUUUCAGAGACUUAAAGCUGAAUUAAGUGAGGCCCCUGUGUUGGCAGCGCCCAACCAUACUAAACAAUUUCUUGUACACACAGAUGCUCCAUGUUUGGGCUGGGAGCCGUGUUGAGCCAAGUGGGGGACGACGGCAUGGAACACCUGGUGGCAUACCUUAGCCGUAAACUUUUGCCCAGAGAGGUCAGCUAUGCCACCGUAGAAAAAGAGUGCCUAGCCCUAGUUUGGGCCCUUAAGAAACUUCAACCUUACCUGUAUGGACGACCAUUUACCCUUAUGACCGACCACAACCCCCUUGUGUGGCUAAACCAGGUAGCUGAUCACAACCCCAGGCUAUUACGGUGGAGCCUAGCCCUUCAGCCAUAUAACUUUACUAUGCAAUACCGUCUGGGCAAACAAAACGGUAAUGCAGACGGUCUGUCUUGACAGACCGAACUGGACUCCUAAAGUACUUUUAUCGGACAUCCCCAAGCCAACCCGACAGGGUCUAGGUGGGUAUGCCGACCUAUGGAACUAUAGGGGAGCAGUGUGAAGAAAUCCCUCUUUAUGUUCAGUAUUUCUCCCCUGUUCAUUCGGUAGCUGUAACUACUGAACAGAGGCCACCCCCCUGGCUCGUUAAACUUCAAAGCAUGCCUCAAUUGAACCCUCUACCUGUACUACUGAACGUCACGUGGCUGAGAAAACGGCGGCCAUCUUUUUUUAUGCGAACAAAGGCAGCGGGACUUGGUCGUCGAGUGUCUGGAACUAAAAUCAGAUACUCGACUUCCCGAACACCGGUCUCAACAUACGAACGCUGAAUCUUUAUUUCCCGAACAGCUAGAAGAGCGCUGUUAUGUACUUUUGUUCAUUCGAAUGAGGGGAACAAUCGCUGCUAAGAGCCAGGGGAAACCGUUCGUGGGAUUAUUCAUUUUUUCCCACUUAAUGAAAUAGACCGGCAAAACUACCCAAAUUUAUGGAACUGUUUUGGGCAGCCACCUCAUGGUUAGCCGGUCAAAAAAGACUUCCAGAUUUUUUGAGAACCUCUGAACCGAUCUGGUUGAAAUUUGAAUAUGUUGGUCACCCAGAUCGGUGCUAUCAGGGGACAUAUUGUUUGUGGGGAUACCACAUGCCUAAAGGGGUGUUCUAAAUAUUGUGGAAAACUGUAAUUUUUCUGCCUGGAGAUAAUCAAGUUAUUACUUUAUCAGACUUGAUUAUCUCCAGGACUAGGGGAGGGAAUUGUAUGUUUGUGCUGGGAGUGUUUUACGUUUUUCUUGUAAAUGAUUGGAUGUACUUUGUCCCUCCCUAUGGGAUGUCCCCUUGCAUGGGGACUUGCGUAAAAAAACGUGUGUGAUCAUUAAAAGCCAGUUCUGUUGCAACCUUCUUCUAGACUUUGGCUGAUGUUUGGGGAUUUGUAUGCUUUAUUAAGGGAAUCGUCUUGUAAAGCUAUUGUAUUCGUAUGGAUUUCGUUUAUUUCAUCUACCGAAUGGAGAGCUAUAAUCACUGAUGUUCUGGCUGUUCGGGAGGAAACUACCAAAUGAGGAUUGGAUAUCCUAGGUUUCCUUACAGGCCUAAUAGCUAGGAACUAGCAUGUCUUUCAAAUUUCUGCCCCUGCGUGCUGUCACUGAGGGGAAUGGUAUAAUAACCUUCUCAAUAUGGGGAUCCGAAGUGAUUAUUGGCCAAAAUCUUUUAAAUGUAUUCAUCAUGUUGGACCAGCCUGCAUCAUAUGGUGUUAUGCUUAGAAUCUUGGAAGAUCCUGUGUCCCUAAUGUGAUCACUUAGUAGGGUAUCUCUGUCGGCAUUUAUUGCUCUGGCAUAAGCCCUUUUUAGAACCCUAUUAGGGUAACCUUUUUCCCUAAAAGAUUUUCAGAGGUCCCAGGCCGUGAUUUUAAAAUCAUCCAGGGAAGAACAGUUUCUUUAGUUUUAGUGGGUGAUGGCUAGUCCAAUUCAGAAGGCCAUUAGAGGCUGUUUGUUUUCGGUACAGGGUGGUUAAAAUGUUGCCACUUGUUUGUAUGGAAACAAUGAGGUCUAGGAAGAUUCUUGCCCCCCACUUCGCUUGUGAAGAAGAGAGUUACAAACGUCAUGAACUCAUAAGAAGAUCCCAGCCAAAUAACAAAGACAUCAUCGAUGUACCUUUUCCAAAAAUAAAUUUUUAUCACGAUAGUUCGAUAAAGUCUGGUCCAUUUCAAUGUAUGUCUCCCAGGUGCCCAAGUAUAUGUUGGCAUAGGAGGGCGCGCAUGAAGUCCCCAUGGCAUUCCCCCUAAUUUGUUGGUAUACUUUACCAUUGAAUAAAAAGAAAUUUUUGGUCAAUAUAAAUUUAAUGAUGUUAGAGAUAAAGUCUAUGCAUGCUGGUGGGGCAUUAAGUGUUUUCUGAAGAGUUGAUCUAAUGCUCUUACUCCCCAAUUUGUAGGGGAUGCAGCUAUAUAAUGCUUCUAUGUCCAGGCUACAUAAGAUGGCUUCUUCUGGUACCCUUAAGUUCUCUAACCAGUAUAACAUUUGUUUUGUAUCUCUGAUAUAUAAUGAUAAAUUGGAUACAAUGGGUGAAAAGAUUUUAUCAAGAAAAAUGCUCGCAUUCUGGGUUAGAUUAGGCCUGCCAGGUGGAUUAGUCAAGGACUUAUGCACCUUAGGCAGGCUAUGGAAGGUGGACAGUACUAGUGAUCUGAUGAAGUGAAGUUCUUCUUUUGGUUAUGAAUUUACUAUCCAAGG